ensembl:lncRNA
GUGGCGCUAUGACUAUAACUGAAUAUGGGCAUAUCAAUCUGUUCAGGUCAGGAGUCUUAUCAAACAUGUGAAGUUUGUGGCAGAUUGGACAUUGUAUGUCUGAGUUAUAGCAACUUCAUUUUUUUCAUGGCGAAUCAUCGAAAUUCGUCAGGCCGCCACGGACACGCCCUUCAACGAAAACUCAAGAUCUUCGCAAUUUAACAUCGCAAAGGCCUUUAGAUUAGGCAUACCAAAUUUGGUGUUGAUCUGAAUAAAUCUCUAGGAGGAGUUCGUUAAAAUACAAGGCAUGCAAAUGACAAAAAUGAUGCAAAAUUUGCUCAUAAAAUUAAAAAUAACCGACUUCCUGUUGGGUUUCGGAUAUUGCUCCAAGAGUCUUUUUUGUAGGUACUGAUGCUUUACAUAUGUGUGCCAAUUUUCGUGCAUGUACGUGAAACACAGCUCGAGGGCUGUUGAUUUUUUUACGGUAGGUGGCGCUGUCGAGCCAUUUUGCCACACCCUCUUCUGAAACCUAUAUCAGACGUAAAUUUUCACCAGGUCUGACGCGUGUGCAAAGUUUCAGGACUUUUCGAGCAUGUUUAGGCCCUCAAAAAUGCGAUUCAUUUUGGAGAAGAAGAAGAAGAAGAAGAAGAAUAAUAAUAAAUAUAGCUGCAAGCAGCGAUGGCGGGCUCAAGCCAUCAGCGCAAACGCCACCCCGGUGGCAUCAGGUAAACUGUGCCCAGCGGGCACAUGCAUUUACAGUAACCCUCUGGCACUCAGGUUUAAAGGGAUAUGGCAAUUAAAGGGUUAAUCCGAACCAUCAAGACUUUGAAAUCACACACACAGAACAAUAUUCAUUAAGAAAGUGAAAUUAUAUGAUUAAUAAUCUAUUUAUUUGAACCCUUGCUAUUUUCUAUUCUAAUAAAAGCCUUGGCUAUGGAACAUCUGUAAUACAGUUGGCUAGCUGGAUGCAAAUAAAGUCAUGCCUUUUAUUUUGUCCCCUGUUUGCUAUUUC